CUGGCAUGGAGAAAAAAAAAAGAUAAGACAAAAGCUCUCCCCCUCCCAGGUGUCCUUAAAAAGUUAACUUGCCCAGAGCAGAGGAAAAAAAAAAAAAAAACAGAAACAAAAACUGCUUUUUGUGAACUUCUGCAGACUGUGAACUUCUGAGCUUACAUGUUGGGUACAAAAUUCUGAAACUACCUAAACUUGGGGUUCAGGGGAUUAAUUGAUU
rnacentral:lncRNA from 1 species